rnacentral:rRNA from 1 species
UACGUAGGUGGCAAGCGUUGUCCGGAUUUACUGGGCGUAAAGGGCGCGCAGGCGGCUCAUCAAGUCUGGGGUGAAAUCUCCCGGCUCAACCGGGAGGGGUCUCUGGAUACUGAUGGGCUUGAGGAAAGCAGAGGAAAGCGGAAUUCCCGGUGUAGCGGUGAUAUGCGUAGAUAUCGGGAGGAACACCAGUGGCGAAGGCGGCUUUCUGGGCUUUUCGUGACGCUGAGGCGCGAAAGCGUGGGGAGCGAACCGG